CGGGGCUGCUGCUGCUCUCGGGUCGCCGCCGUCGCUCCUUCUCCUCCGCCGCCGCCUCCUGACAGCCGCCGCCACCGCCGCCGUCCGAACUUGAAGUUGCCGGCGCGCCCGUGGCCGCCGCCGCCACCGCCGCAGCGGAGGUCGCAGCUGCUGCUUGGGGCCCCUUCUCGGCGUUCUUGUCCCCGGGGUAGUCGGAGGAAGCGAGGUUUUCCGGGGUGCCGUAAGCCGUCUCGAAAAACUGGUCGAAAGCCUGUGGCAGAACGCCGUUCCUGCCCACCGUGCUAUAGAAAUUGGACGAGACGGCGGGGGUGGGGUGGUGGUAGACGUUGGCCGAGCUCUUGGCCAGCACGUCGCCAGGCACGCCGGCCGCGCUGGGCGCCUGCAGACAGUCUCUGUGCACGAGCUCCUCCGCGGAGUAGCAGUGGGCCAGAUUGCCGCGGGGGUGCCAUUUAGUGGCGGGCUCAAUGGCGUACUCUCUGAAGGUCACUUCGCGCACGGGUUGGACCUGGGGCAGGUUGGAGGAGUAGGAGUAUGUCAUUGGGCGCGAAGACGGGGUCUGGGGCAAAAAAGAAGGGAGGCUGGAGAAAUCUGGACCCGAGACGUAGUAAGUACAACUUGGCAAAUACAUGUUAGAGGAGCAGGGACCACGCUCAUCAAAAUCCAUCAUUGGGCUACCUUGGGCUCUCCGCAGUAGCCGAGCUUAACAUGAUUCUCCACUGCAGCUGCCUCUUUGAAGCGGAUCCGUGAAGUAGAAAUUUGGAGACGCACCUCAGGGGAAGCAACAGAUCGUCACUCGGUGUUCUCACCGAAAGCACGUAAUCGCCGGUGUAACUCAUGUUGGCUGGGGGGCCUCCCCGCGCGCAGAAAGGCUGGGGUGCGCCCCCGGGCAGCUCUCCUUUGCUCAGCUACAUGGUCCUGGUCCACGAGUGCUCUGAGGGCGGCAAGAGAGCGCAACUCCUGACGCCUCCCCCCACUCCCCGGGGCUGGGGGUGGCCAGGUGAAAGCCCGGAAUUGUAUAGCUUCAGGUCCCGGAGUCUGUUAUCCGAAGGCUUACGUUCAGCACCUUCUUCGCAGCCCCCCUCCCACAGGUUUGCUCUGGGAAGCCCCCCAGCCUCAGACCCUGGCUGGACCCCAUUUGGGGCCAGGCUUCGCCGGCACGGAUGUGCCGGCCUCGUGGCUUGUCCGAUUUGCACGGUGACUUGAUUACACGCUCUCAUUCACGGUCACUUCCGAAGCGCUUUAGUGCCUUCCGUCCCCAAACCGCCAACAGGCAAAGCGGCUUCCCUCCGCGGUUUGUCAAUAAUCCGCGCUGUCCGGAAGGGCCUUCGUCUUACCCGGGUUCCACCUUCCCUGUAUCUUUCUGCUUACUUCCUUACCCCACACCCUGUCCUUGAAGGAACCCCUUCUCCUCGCUGCCUGUAGGGGUUCGGAGUGACUCCUCAGAGCCAGAGGCACUUCUGCUCACCGGUCCGCAAGCUGCCUGGUCUGCUGAAGCUGACGAAUCGGGAAACCAUGCAAUUGAGGCGAACCUUGGGCUGUUUUAGAGGCGCUGAGGAGCCUUCUCCUGGGAGGUGGCUCAGCCGCGGGGGACGCCAGGCCGCCUCCCCUGACUACAUGGCAGCUUCUCUCAUAAUUAACUCGACUUCCCGGGAUGCCAGGGAGAAGGGGUACCCACAGAAAGGAGGCCCAAGGUUGAUUUCAGCCCACCAGGAUCUGGGGAAGACCCAACUAGGGAUAAGAGCACACCAAAAGGCCAAGUCCGAGUUCCAUUUCUAGAAGAGGCGGCUUCCGGCAAGGCUAUGACAUUGGCCCUGGACAUUGGUUUCCCAGGAGCUGCUUUUUCUCAAGAACUCCACAGCACGGGGCUGUCUCCAGAAAACGCUCUUCAACGUUUAUUUCUUUUAAUCGUCGCCCGGAGCCCUAAGGCGGCUAAUGCAAGAGGCCAAAAAUGUUUGGAGGAAGAAAAACAAAGGCAGGAAGUGGCCGCGGCCUGACGGUGCGUGUGUGUCUGUAAAGAAGGGAGGGAGCCGGUUCAACCUCCCCUCGUUUUCCCGAACUUCAAGGUCUAGGCAGACCCCCUUAGGGCCUUGCCGAGGCUCGCCCCCACACCCCCAGCGGCGCAGCAUUUGGAGGUGGCCAACGAUUUAAGCCUCGGUCGGGCUGAAAGGAGAUUUGAUCGGCAGAACAAACCAACCCUUUUCGGAGGUUUCUUUUGAUUUGGUCCUAAAGGGUAUAUGCUAGUGUCCACAGCGGCUGGGGUGGCUGCUGUUUUCCUCCCGCCGGGCUAAAAGUACCAAGAAGGGAGGGAGGGAGAGAGAUUCAGGCACCUUGCGCUGGCUGCACUCUCCUUCUGAGAUAGAAUACCAGAAUAAAGUGUAUUCAGGUGCCUCUGCU
rnacentral:lncRNA from 1 species